UACAGUAGGGUGCAAGCGUUAAUCGGAAUUACUGGGCGUAAAGCGUGCGUAGACGGUAGCGUAAGUCGGGUGUGAAAGCCCCGGGCUCAACCUGGGAAUUGCAUUCGAGACUGCUCUGCUAGGGUGCGGAAGAGGGAAGCGGAAUUUCCGGUGUAGCGGUGAAAUGCGUAGAUAUCGGAAGGAACACCAGUGGCGAAAGCGGCUUCCUGGUCCAGCACCGACGUCAGGCACGAAAGCGUGGGGAGCAAACAGG
rnacentral:rRNA from 1 species